ACUGCUCAGUAACACGUGGAUAACCUGCCCUAAGGUGGAGGAUAACCCCGGGAAACUGGGGAUAAUACUCCAUAGGUCAGAGAUACUGGAAUGUUCUUUGACCGAAAGUUCCGGCGCCUUAGGAUGGAUCUGCGGCCGAUUAGGUAGUUGUUGGGGUAGUGGCCCAACAAGCCUGUAAUCGGUACGGGUUGUGGGAGCAAGAGCCCGGAGAUGGAAUCUGAGACACGAUUCCAGGCCCUACGGGGCGCAGCAGGCGCGAAAACUUUACAAUGCAGGAAACUGUGAUAAGGGAACCCCGAGUGCCCGUAUAUGCGGGCUGUCCAGGUGUUUAAAAUGCAUCUGAAGAAAGGGCCGGGCAAGACCGGUGCCAGCCGCCGCGGUAAUACCGGCGGCUCGAGUGGUGACCGCUUUUAUUGGGCUUAAAGCGUUCGUAGCUGGAUUUAUAAGUCUCUUGGGAAAUCCGCCGGCUCAACCGGCGGGCGUCCAAGAGAUACUGUUGAUCUAGGGAUCGGGAGAGGUGAGAGGUACUCCGGGGGUAGAAGUGAAGUUCUGUAAUCCCCGGGGGACCACCGAUGGCGAAGGCAUCUCACCAGAACGACUCCGACAGUGAGGAACGAAAGCUGGGGGAGCGAACCGGAUUAGAUACCCGGGUAGUCCCAGCCGUAAACGAUGCGCGUUAGGUGUACUGGUGACCACGAGUCACUGGGGUGCCGAAGGGAAACCGUGAAACGUGCCGCCUGGGAAGUACGGUCGCAAGGCUGAAACUUAAAGGAAUUGGCGGGGAAACAC
rnacentral:rRNA from 1 species